rnacentral:rRNA from 1 species
CCAGACUCCUACGGGAGGCAGCAGUGAGGAAUAUUGGUCAAUGGCCGAGAGGCUGAACCAGCCAAGUCGCGUGAGGGAAGACGGCCCUACGGGUUGUAAACCUCUUUUGUCAGGGAGCAAAGGGCGCCACGUGUGGCGUUUUGCGAGUACCUGAAGAAAAAGCAUCGGCUAACUCCGUGCCAGCAGCCGCGGUAAUACGGAGGAUGCGAGCGUUAUCCGGAUUUAUUGGGUUUAAAGGGUGCGCAGGCGGAAUGUCAAGUCAGCGGUAAAAUUUCGGGGCUCAACCCCGUCGUGCCGUUGAAACUGGCGUUCUUGAGUGCGCGAGAAGUAUGCGGAAUGCGUGGUGUAGCGGUGAAAUGCAUAGAUAUCACGCAGAACUCCGAUUGCGAAGGCAGCAUACCGGCGCGCAACUGACGCUCAUGCACGAAAGCGUGGGUAUCGAACAGGAUUAGAUACCCCCGUAGGA